rnacentral:tRNA from 1 species
GCCCCCAUCCUCUAUCGGUUAGGAGAGCGGCUUCUCAAGCCGACAAGCGGAGUUCGAUUCUCCGUGGGGGCACCA